CGCAGGUUGGUGAUCUUCAGCUGUGCCUGGGCUUCCGCACUGUAAGGGUCCUCUGCGGCAUAAGGCGGUGACAGGGCUCGGAAUAUCACCUGGGCAGAGAAACACAGCAGGUAUUUGAGCAUCUUCUGCCAGAAAGACUCAGAUAUGGGAGAAGGUUAACCAGGAGAGGUGGUCAGAGGACAAGGCUGGGGAGCAGCACAUCCCUUGUGCAGAAGUGUUGAGUCUGAUGAGGGGUAUUAAUAAACAGUAACACACUUCAAAAGA